rnacentral:rRNA from 1 species
AUUGACCGCUGGCGGCAGGCCUAACACAUGCAAGUCGAGCGAGCGGCGGACGGGUGAGUAAUGUCUGGGAAACUGCCUGAUGGAGGGGGAUAACUACUGGAAACGGUAGCUAAUACCGCAUCCCAUCAGAUGUGCCAAGAUGGGAUUGGCUAGUAGGUGGGGUAACGGCUCACCUAGGCGACGAUCCCUAGCUGGUCUGAGAGGCUGACCAGCCACACUGGAACUGAGACACGGUCCAGACUCCUACGGGAGGCAGAAGUGGGGAAUAUUGCACAAUGGGCGCAAGCCUGAGGCAGCCAUGCCGCGUGUGUGAAGAAGGCCUUCGGGUUGUAAAGCACUUUCAGCGGGGAGGCUUUACCCGCAGAAGAAGCACCGGCUAACUCCGUGCCAGCCGCCGCGGUAAUAC